rnacentral:rRNA from 1 species
GUACGGGUGCGGAACACGUGUGCAACCUGCCUUUAUCAGGGGGAUAGCCUUUCGAAAGGAAGAUUAAUACCCCAUAAUAUAUUAAGUGGCAUCACUUGAUAUUGAAAACUCCGGUGGAUAGAGAUGGGCACGCGCAAGAUUAGAUAGUUGGUAGGGUAACGGCCUACCAAGUCAGUGAUCUUUAGGGGGCCUGAGAGGGUGAUCCCCCACACUGGUACUGAGACACGGACCAGACUCCUACGGGAGGCAGCAGUGAGGAAUAUUGGACAAUGGGUGAGAGCCUGAUCCAGCCAUCCCGCGUGAAGGACGACGGCCCUAUGGGUUGUAAACUUCUUUUGUAUAGGGAUAAACCUUUCCACGUGUGGAAAGCUGAAGGUACUAUACGAAUAAGCACCGGCUAACUCCGUGCCAGCAGCCGCGGUAAUACGGAGGGUGCAAGCGUUAUCCGGAUUUAUUGGGUUUAAAGGGUCCGUAGGCGGAUCUGUAAGUCAGUGGUGAAAUCUCACAGCUUAACUGUGAAACUGCCAUUGAUACUGCAGGUCUUGAGUAAAGUAGAAGUGGCUGGAAUAAGUAGUGUAGCGGUGAAAUGCAUAGAUAUUACUUAGAACACCAAUUGCGAAGGCAGGUCA